GCUUAUGGUCUUCUAACCAGUCCUGCACGCUCACCUAUUCGAAUAAUAAAGAAUCUUCGUGUUUGUGGUGAUUGCCAUAAUGCAGUGAAGAUCAUUUCAAAGAUUGUUGGAAGAGAACUUCAUCAUGCGAGAUGCCAAGAGAUUCCACCAUUUCAAAGAUGGGGCGUGCUCUUGCCGUGAUUAUUGGUGAACAAGAUGAAAAUAAAGGUGCCUUCUCUCUCAUUCUCCUCCUCCUUUCCUUUUCAAAAUGGAGAAAUG
rnacentral:misc_RNA from 1 species